GACGAACGCUGGCGGCGUGCUUAACACAUGCAAGUCGAACGGAAAGGCCCUGCUUUUGUGGUGUGCUCGAGUGGCGAACGGGUGAGUAACACGUGAGUAACCUGCUCUUGUCUUUGGUAUAACUUCAGGAAACUGGGGCUAAUACCGUAUAGCAUCUCCUGCUGCAUGGUGGGCGUUGGAAAGUUUCGGCUGUUGGGGUUGGAUUCGCGGCUUAUCAGCUUGUUGGUGGGGUAGUGGCUUACCAAGGCUUUGACGGAUAGCCCGCAUGUGAGGGUGAACGGGCACAAUGGGACUGAGAGACGGACCAGACGGCUACGGGAGGCAACAGGGGGGAAUAUUGCACAAUGAGAGGAAGCCUGAUGCAGAAACGCCGCGUGCGGGAUGACGGCCUUCGGGGUAUGAAACGCUUUAGCCUGUGACGAAGCGUGAGGGACGGUAAUGGAUAAAGAAGCACCGGCUAACUACGUG
rnacentral:rRNA from 1 species